rnacentral:lncRNA from 1 species
UGUAAAGUUAAAAUUGGCUGUAAGGUUUAUCUAAUUGAAAUUAGAAGGUAAUUGCCCUUGUCUUUUUCUGCAACCAAGAUUUCCAGUACACUACCCAUGUUGAAGACAUUAUUGAUUAAAAUAGAAGCAUGUCCAAGAGAUACUUCAGUGUUGCUAUCUCAUUUUCAAGUUCACUCAGUUUCAGUAGCCAAUGUAAAAUCAUCUUUCUUAAACUUAGGCAACCUUUUAAAAUGUACUGCUAACAGGCUCUGAGGAAAUUAAAUGCACAUUGACUUUUUUAAGUAUGGGUUGAACUCCUCAGUUUAAUACAAUUUGUGUUUUUGUUAACUAGCAGCAGAAUUUCAGCAUUUGCUACUUACUGGUAGAGAAGAAAAACCCCACAGCCCUGCCAGUACAGGUUAGUUUAAUCUACGAGGAAGUCAUGCACAUCUUGCUUGAAAUUUAACCAGUAAAAGUAAGUUGGAUGGUGAUUAGCCAGUCUUCGAUUGGAUCAUUAUUAUUUUAUUUGGGAAUAUUAAGAUUUGUUUAAAUUUUUAAUGAUCUACAUCUAGCAGCCAGUAGUAGAAAUGUAUUUUGUGAGUUUUCCCCCACUUUGUUUUUUUGAUUGUAAAUUGCCUGAGGGCUUAAGUUUUAUUGCCUUUCACAGAAUGGCGUAGAUACAGUGGAAAUGGUUUUCCUUAAAACCAUCUCUUUAGAGCUGCCUUUCUGGUGAGUACUGCUUUAUAAUUUUUGUAUCACAGUUUUAUUUUUUUAAGCUAGCUGGAAGGUGACAGUGAUUGAAAUGAGCAGUUUUCAAAGCUUGGAUCAGAACCUUAAGAUGACAG